CAGAGCUGACCCUUGCUGAGAAGAGUGCUGUCUUGGUUUUCCCUCCCGACGUGGACAUCAGAGGACCCUCGGCCUCUCCCCCAGACUCUCCCAGGCUUGCAGCCUCAACCUUGUCUUGCCUUGCCUGACAAACUGUGUGGACCACAGAAUUAGCAACUCUAAGAGAAACGGCAAGACACCAAACACAGUUGGGCAUGUGUGAUCAGAUGUGGGAUGAAAAAAACACAACUGGGAGAAUGAACACAAUCACUACAAGUAGUGAAAACACCACCUCCAUAGCAGCAUCUCUAGAAAAUGGAGCCCAGUCACAGGGACUGCCCACAACUGUCAUCUAUGGCGUCUCAGCCCUCUGCAUUCUCCUCGUGGUGAUGGCAGUGACUCUGGUUGGAUGGAAGCUUUGGAAGAAGCACCAGAGCACCGGUGCCUACGAGCCUAACAAUGAAGAGGAGAUGACUUCUCGGAAACCAGUCUCCUCCAAAAUGCAGCUUCCCCUGGAGAAGCAGAUCCUCUGAGCUCCCAACUCCUCCAAGCCCAAUAUCUAGAUCUGUCUGACACAGGCCCCCCCCCCCAGACAGCCUUUUUCAGUGGGCACCUAGAUUAACAUGCAGGGCUCUGGGGACCAGAGGCUAGAUAGAGUGAGCAGGGGUGCAAUAUAUGCCACCAGCCACCUUUACUACCCUGCUGUGGCUAUGACCUUUUUUUUGGGGGGGGGGUUUAGUGAGGCA